rnacentral:rRNA from 1 species
UACGCACGCUGGCGGCGUGCCCAAUACAUGCAAGUAGAACGCAGUUGCGAACGGGUGAGUAACGCGUAGGUAACUGCUUCAUAGCGGGGGAUAACUAUUGGACACGAUAGCUAAUACUGCACACUGUGAGAUGGACCUGCGUUGUAUUAGCUAGUUGGUGAGGUAAAGGCUCACCAAGGCGACGAUACAUAGCCGACCUGAGAGGGUGAUCGGCCCCACUGGGACUGAGACACGGCCCAGACUCGUACGGGAGGCAGCAGUAGGGAAUCUUCGGCAAUGGACAGAAGUCUGACCGAGCAACGACGCGUGAAUGAGGAAGAUUGUCGGAGCGUAAAGCUCUGUUGUUAGAGACGCGGUAACUCUCCAGAAAGGAACGGCUAACUACGUGCCAGCAGCCGCGGUAAUUC